CUGUUUUGCUUACUGUCUGGGAUCUUCUUGUUUUUCAUGGACUCUAAUAUUACAAAAGGCUUUAUGGGGAUUAGACAAAUAGACAUUUCACAUUCCAACAACACCAGAUCCCCCUCCAGCAACCUUCCUGGAAAAAUAAUGGUCUCCAUACCAAACAUAUGACUGUUUUACUCCUUCCACCGUCUGCUGACCUUAUCUUAUCCACUGAUGGUAAAGGAAUCCCAUUUAUUUAAAGGGGAGUCGCAUACGUGUCUGCCGGUAAACACAUGCUGUACAGUAUAACCAGAUAUACUGGUAGCUAUUUCUUUUAUCUUCUAUCUCAGUGUCCAAGUGCUGGUUGUUUGUUCAGAUACUGACAACAUCACUCUGCGAAGCAACAGAUUUUAGAUGUCUGCUUUUCUUCCUCGAGAUCAUACUGCAGGGUCACAGAACAACAGUUCAAAGUUCAACAACACUUUACGCAGGGUAGAUGCUCCUUAGCACUAAACUUCAACCAAAAUUUGUCCGACCAACAGGCCAACAUGACUCUGGAUUCACUGAGAGCCAAAUGUCUUGUCAAAUCUCCUUUUUGUAAUAUGCAAAGAGCACUGUACAAAGCAUUCAGGUUGUUUUUCUAAUGUGAAUGUCAAUUUGUACGUUUUUAUCUGAAUGAUGAUAUUAUUCUUGAAAGAUUUUUAGUUGAAAACAUUUAAAAAUGAACUAGAAUUGUCAACAGAAUGUGGAAAUAAUAGUAAUUUUUGCCAUGAAUGACAUUUAGGUGUUCUGUUGCAGAGAAAUCUCGAAAAAAAAAACAAACCACUAACACAUAAUAUUAUCACAAACAUGUUUCUCAACAAUUUCUUGUUUACACAUCCAGCAGAAAAAUUAUGUUAUUAAAAUUCCAAAAAGAAAGAUUCAAGGAACACUUUAGGUUAAAAAGCCUGUAUUCGGACGGUUUUCUUUAUGGUGUAGUUCUUAAAAACAUUGACAAAUGUGUAUUAAAAUGGAAGAAUUGAUUUGUGACUCAGCCUUCUUCAGGUUCACCUGACAGAAGAGCACCGUCAUCACAUGUUGUUUGAACUUCCUCGCUCUCCAGACAUUCUUUUUGAUUAAAAAAAAAUCAUUUGGAGUCUUGUUUGAUGAA